rnacentral:tRNA from 1 species
UGGGGCGUCGCCAAGCGGUAAGGCACGGGUUUUGAUCCCCGCAUUCGGAGUGUCUGAAUCCUCCCGCCCCAUCCA